rnacentral:lncRNA from 1 species
GAAUAUAAGUGUAUAGGUUAAUUGUGCAAGUCGUCAAAGAAACCGUAGGAUAAAAUAACAAGCCGAUAAGAAAUUCUAUAUUGUUAAUUCUGCUAAUACACAUUUCAACAAAACGAGAGCUUUGCGCAUAAUUAAGGAGGGCGGGUGGUAAAACGGAAAAAAUAGUUUACAAGAAGCAAUCCGUAAAAAAUGACCAAUCAUGUAUCUUGGUUGAUCGUUCUUGAAGCUUGUCUUAUCAAUAAAGUGCAAUAGAAGAUGAAGAAGAGUGUAUUUCAUGUAUUCCAAUGUAAGGAACGUGCGUGUAAUUUUAUUCUGUGCGUGCGCAAUGAUUCUUUUUAGUCAAAAAGAAGCGAGAACCGAGAACACGUUCCAAAUCGUAGAGCAGCCUGAUACAAUGUCACUGACACAGCUGAAUGCGAGAUAUGCGUAAAUUAUCGUUUAGACAUAAUUUUUAUUGAAGCUGUUACAAUUAACAUAUCUGAGAGAA